rnacentral:rRNA from 1 species
CCUACGGGUGGCAGCAGUGGGGAAUAUUGGACAAUGGGCGAAAGCCUGAUCCAGCCAUGCCGCGUGUGUGAAGAAGGCCUUCGGGUUGUAAAGCACUUUCAGUGGGGAAGAAAGCCUUGGGGCUAAUACCCUCGAGGAAGGACAUCACCCACAGAAGAAGCACCGGCUAACUCCGUGCCAGCAGCCGCGGUAAUACGGAGGGUGCGAGCGUUAAUCGGAAUUACUGGGCGUAAAGCGCGCGUAAGCGGUCUGAUAAGCCGGUUGUGAAAGCCCCGGGCUCAACCUGGGAACGGCAUCCGGAACUGCCAGGCUAGAGUGCAGGAGAGGAAGGUAGAAUUCCCGGUGUAGCGGUGAAAUGCGUAGAGAUUGGGAGGAAUACCAGUGGCGAAGGCGGCCUUCUGGACUGACACUGACGCUGAGGUGCGAAAGCGUGGGUAGCAAACAGGAUUAGAUACCCGAGUAGUC